UACGGGGGGGGCAAGCGUUGUUCGGAAUUACUGGGCGUAAAGGGCUCGUAGGUGGCCAACUAAGUCAGACGUGAAAUCCCUCAGCUUAACUGGGGAACUGCGUCUGAUACUGGAUGGCUUGAGAUUGGGAGAGGGAUGCGGAAUUCCAGGUGUAGCGGUGAAAUGCGUAGAUAUCUGGAGGAACACCGAUGGCGAAGGCAGCCCCCUGGGUCAAGAUUGACGCUCAUGCACGAAAGCGUGGGGAGCAAACAGG
rnacentral:rRNA from 1 species